UUGGAGGUAGUGACAAUAAAUCACAAUGCGGGACUAUCAGUCUUGCAAUUGGAUUGAGAACAAUGUACAACUCUUAUCGAUAAGCCAUUGGAGGGCAAGUCUGGUGCCAGCAGCCGCGGUAAUUCCAGCUCCAAUAGCGUAUAUUAACGUUGUUGCAGUUAAAAAGCUCGUAGUUGAAGUGUGGGUGAUCGCUGUUGUGAGACUUCGGUCUCUCGACAGUAAGUCACCCCCUUCCAGUAUCCAGUAGUGGGUAUUCAGUUACUUACUAUUGUGUGUUGGUCCUUUACUGUGAGAAAAUUAGAGUGUUCAAAGCAGGCGUUUGCUUGAAUAGAUUAGCAUGGAAUAAUAAUUGAAGGCUUUCGUGUUCGAUUUGAUUGGUUUGUUCAUGGAAGCAAGGUUAAAAGGAACAGUUGGGGGUAUUCAUAUUCACUAGUUAGAGGUGAAAUUCUCGGAUUUGUGGAAGAUGAACAAGUGCGCAAGCAAU
rnacentral:rRNA from 1 species